AGCAGCCGCGGUAAUUCCAGCUCCAAUAGCGUAUAUUAAAGUUGUUGCAGUUAAAAAGCUCGUAGUUGAAUUUCGGGGUUUAUCCGUUGGUCGGGCUUUUUGGUCUGUACUGGCGUGAUGGAUUCCUACCUUCUGAAUAACCGGCAUGCCAUUAAUUUGGUGCGCCGGGGAAGCAGGACUGUUACCUUGAAAAAAUUAGAGUGCUUAAAGCAGGCUUAUGCCUGAAUACAUUAGCAUGGAAUAAUGAAAUAGGACGGCAUGGUUCUAUUUUGUUGGUUUCUAGGAUCACCGUAAUGAUUAAUAGGGAUAGUUGGGGGCAUUAGUAUUCAAUUGUCAGAGGUGAAAUUCUUGGAUUUAUUGAAGACUAACUUCUGCGAAAGCAUUUGCCAAGGAUGUUUUCAUUAAUCAAGAACGAAAGUUAGGGGAUCGAAGACGAUCAGAUACCGUCGUAGUCUUAACCAUAAACUAUGCCGACUAGGGAUCGGACGAUGUUAAUUUUUUAAUGACUCAUUCGGCGCCU
rnacentral:rRNA from 1 species